rnacentral:rRNA from 1 species
UACGUAGGGUGCGAGCGUUGUCCGGAAUUAUUGGGCGUAAAGAGCUUGUAGGCGGUCUGUCGCGUCUGCUGUGAAAAUCCGGGGCUCAACCCCGGACUUGCAGUGGGUACGGGCAGACUAGAGUGUGGUAGGGGAGACUGGAAUUCCUGGUGUAGCGGUGAAAUGCGCAGAUAUCAGGAGGAACACCGAUGGCGAAGGCAGGUCUCCUGGGCCAC